GGGGAUGGGCUCGCGUCCUAUUAGUUAGUUGGUGAGGUAACGGCUCACCAAGGCGAUGACGGGUAGCCGGUCUGAGAGGAUGUCCGGCCACACUGGAACUGAGACACGGUCCAGACACCUACGGGUGGCAACAGUCGAGAAUCAUUCACAAUGGGGGAAACCCUGAUGGUGCGACGCCGCGUGGGGGAUAAGGUCUUCGGAUUGUAAACCCCUGUCAUGUGGGACAUUAAAAGAUAGUACCACAAGAGGAAGAGACGGCUAACUCUGUGCCAGCAGCCGCGGUAAUACAGAGGUCUCAAGCGUUGUUCGGAAUCACUGGGCGUAAAGCGUGCGUAGGCGGUUUCGUAAGUCGUGUGUGAAAGGCGGGGGCUCAACCCCCGGACUGCACAUGAUACUGCGAGACUAUAGUGAUGGAGGGGGAACCGGAAUUCUCGGUGUAGCAGUGAAAUGCGUAGAUAUCGAGAGGAACACUCGCGGCGAAGGCGGGUUCCUGGACAUUAACUGACGC
rnacentral:rRNA from 1 species